AAAGGUAAGCUACUAAGAGCGAAUGGUGGAUGCCUUGACUGGUAAAGGCGAUGAAGGACGUACUAGACUGCGAUAAGCUACGGGGAGCUGUCAAGAAGCUUUGAUCCGUAGAUUUCCGAAUGGGGCAACCCAAUGUAUAGAGAUAUACAUUGCCUAUAUAGGAGCGAACGAGGGGAAUUGAAACAUCUUAGUACCCUCAGGAAAAGAAAUCAAUAGAGAUUGCGUCAGUAGCGGCGAGCGAAAGCGCAAGAGGGCAAACCCAGUGCUUGCACUGGGGGUUGUAGGACUGCAAUGUGCAAGAGGUAAGUUUAGCAGAACAUUCUGGAAAGUAUAACCAUAGAGGGUGAUAGUCCCGUAUGCGAAAAACAAACCUUAGCUAGCAGUAUCCUGAGUAGGGCGGGACACGAGGAAUCCUGUCUGAAUCCGGGUCGACCACGAUCCAACCCUAAAUACUAAUACCAGAUCGAUAGUGCACAAGUACCGUGAGGGAAAGGUGAAAAGAACUGAGGUGAUCAGAGUGAAAUAGAACCUGAAACCAUU
rnacentral:rRNA from 1 species